GGGCGUAAAGCGAGCGCAGGCGGUUUCUUAAGUCUGAUGUGAAAGCCCCCGGCUCAACCGGGGAGGGUCAUUGGAAACUGGGAGACUUGAGUGCAGAAGAGGAGAGUGGAAUUCCAUGUGUAGCGGUGAAAUGCGUAGAUAUAUGGAGGAACACCAGUGGCGAAGGCGGCUCUCUGGUCUGUAACUGACGCUGAGGCUCGAAAGCGUGGGGAGCAAACAGGAUUAGAUACC
rnacentral:rRNA from 1 species